rnacentral:rRNA from 1 species
ACGGGUGCGUAACACGUAUGUAACCUACCUUCUUCAGGGGGAUAGCCUCUCGAAAGAGAGAUUAAGACCGCAUAACAUUAUUUUGUGGCAUCAUAGGAUAAUCAAAUAUUUAUAGGAAGAAGAUGGGCAUGCGGAACAUUAGCUAGUUGGUAAGGUAACGGCUUACCAAGGCUACGAUGUUUAGGGGAUCUGAGAGGAUGGCCCCCCACACUGGUACUGAGACACGGACCAGACUCCUACGGGAGGCAGCAGUAAGGAAUAUUGGUCAAUGGACGGAAGUCUGAACCAGCCAUGCCGCGUGCAGGAAGACGGCCCUACGGGUUGUAAACUGCUUUUGCAGGGGAAUAAACCCCGAUACGUGUAUCGGGCUGAAUGUACUCUGAGAAUAAGGAUCGGCUAACUCCGUGCCAGCAGCCGCGGUAAUACGGAGGAUCCAAGCGUUAUCCGGAUUUAUUGGGUUUAAAGGGUGCGUAGGUGGCCUGUUAAGUCAGGGGUGAAAGACGGUAGCUUAACUAUCGCAGUGCCCUUGAUACUGAUGGGCUUGAAUGAACUAGAGGUAGGCGGAAUGUGACAAGUAGCGGUG